CUUUUUUUUUUUUUUGGCCCCUAACAAUAGCAGCAGGCCUCUAUCUCUCCUUUGAUCUAUUGACUUGCCUAUAAUCUUCCUUCACAGAUUUCUUCCUAGGGUGGUGGUGUCUCUGGUUCUCUCAAUCCUGGGAGAGAAAAGAUGAUUGAACUGCUUCAGUAGCCGAUCAAGCCCUCCUAGCUACAUACACCAGCUGCACUCACAUUCCUAGGUUCUCCUGGAUCAGUGACCCACCAAACACACAUGUACCUUUGAAGACCACCCCUCAAAAUCCCAUCAAUACAAGCUCCUAAAAGAAGAGUCUU